CCUACGGGAGGCAGCAGUGAGGAAUAUUGGUCAAUGGGCGGGAGCCUGAACCCUCCCCUUCGCUUUAUUUAAGCCUGUCCUAUUGAUUUUACACCUCUUUAGGCGUGGAGCAAUGCCGGGCACGCGUGCCCGGAGGGAGAGUACCCGCAGAAUAAGCAUCGGCUAACUCCGUGCCAGCAGCCGCGGUAAUACGGAGGAUGCGAGCGUUAUCCGGAUUUAUUGGGUUUAAAGGGUGCGUAGGCGGAUUUUUAAGUCAGCGGUAAAAUGUCCGGGCUCAACCCGGGCCGGCCGUUGAAACUGGGGAUCUUGAGUGGGCGAGAAGUUUGCGGAAUGCGUGGUGUAGCGGUGAAAUGCAUAGAUAUCACGCAGAACUCCGAGUGCGAAGGCAGCAUACCGGCGCCCGACUGACGCUGAGGCACGAAAGCGUGGGGAUCGAACAGGAUUAGAUACCCGAGUAGUC
rnacentral:rRNA from 1 species